rnacentral:piRNA from 2 species
UGGUCCACAGUUAUAUCAGUC